CCCCUAACACAACUGCGCUAUUCGUGAUGUGAUGUUCUCUAAACAACAGUCAGCAUUAAACUAUCGACUCUCCACUCCUACGCAUGUAGACUCUGGAAGGGGAAAGCAACAGAGAGAGAGAGAGAGAGAGAGAUUCAGGAUGUAACGCUCACUCAAGGUCCAUGACUGAUCAUUUGGAAGUUGCAACUGUUAUCAACAGCAUCAGUGAAGCAUUUCCAUUUCAAUGAGGUUGACUCAAUUGGAGAAACAGUAAAGCUACAGCAAAGACCAUCUAUGCAAAGACAUCUUGGACAUUGCCAUUUCAAAAUGUGUUGUAUUCCCCUAAAUCUAUGGAUUAAUGAAGAGCAUGGCACUAUGAGCUGCACUAGCAGUGUUGUUUGCAGAGCCUCCAGCGAUGUCACAACAUUUGGGAAAAAGUUGCUCAACCCCAUGCUUUCAAGGCUGUUCCAGUAGUAUUUGGGUACAACCAGCCCCCUCACAUAGUCCAGUAAUUCCCUCCCUACAGUACCCUUUCAAGGAAGCAGUUGUUUGAGGAGCACCAGAACGAGCCCAGCCCUGAUGAGUAGAAGGCGCCGAGGACAGACUGUCAGUUGGAGGGCAUGUCAGCUCUACUCCAUGUGCCGCCUGUGCAGUGCCCCUGGCAUGGAUUACCCCUGGCCCCCGGCAGCAUCCGCUGUUUGACUGGAUCACGUCCCACUCUUUCCAGAGGCUAUGAUUAACAGCCAGAUCUGAAAGGGUGCCAUGUAGAGUCAGGUUUCAUUUUACCUGAGGGCUGGUUUAAUUUAUUUGCCGAAAAGAGCUCUCUUUCUCUUUCUCUCUCUCUCUCUCUCUCUGCCUCUGCCUUUCACAGUUCCCUUUCCAAACCUCAAACUAAAAAUGGCCCCAUUCACCUUGAAAUGAUAAACUAUCUGAUUGGAUUAAGUUGUGUUCCAUCUUGUGUGUCCCUUUUGGGCUUGACAAGCUGUCUAAUUGGACAAGGCCUUCAUUGUUCUACAUUUUUGCACCAGAGUGUUGAGAGAUCCAGGGCUAGUUUACCCAAUUCAGGUACACUUGAGUUUGCCCUUGACUACAGACUUUGGAGAACAAUUUGCUUAUGUUGAGUCCUAAGUUUGUAACAAUAAUUUGGUACAUUUUAAUCUAAUGAAGCAAAAUAAUGUAUGCUCUUACAGUUAAAUUUACUUUACAUUUCAGACUUUACAUUUCAGAUGCACAAGUCCUAUUUUUGUUAACCUACAGUAUUUGCCAAACUCUCUCACAACCACACACCUGUAAAUGCUGGCAUUUCUCCCUUCACCCUCUUGUCAAAACGUUUUGAACUUUAUUCAAAUAAACUCGUGCUGCCAUUGUUUGACAAAAGUCUUCAA